GAAACUCCUCCACAUCUUCUUGCAGAGCACUUUUAUCAUCUGAACUAAGGGUCUGUGACCAGGUCCCACACCAUGGCUUUUUCCCACCUCUGUGCAUUCAGUUAUCUUCUCAAGCCUUGUCCCUAAGGCUUCAGCUAUGUGUUGUCGCUUACUGCAGCAUCAGUUCUCUUACACCAGAACCCAACUAUGUUCCACUCAUUUGCAGAUAAGUGCUCUCAACAAGCUUGUCUUUCACAUGCUGCUUGAGGUGCUACGUGGAGCCUUGAUUGCCUCCAGCUAAUAUAAUUUCUUCUGCUAUCAAGAUUUUGGCUAGCCCAGCUCAUGCAAAGGCCUGAUGGAUGCUGGAAGCUGCAACAUUAGGUCAAAAAUCAAGGGUGCCAGGUAGGUAGGAAAGGUGGCCAGGAAGAGCUGAAGGGCCAUUAUGUACCCAUGGUCACAUGCAAAUGGUCUCCUGCAGCCAUUAUCUGUUUUCUUCUUCCCAUUUCCUCAGAAUUCACUAAGGUAUGGAAAAGGUCUAGAUCAAACCUCCAAGCUG
rnacentral:lncRNA from 1 species